GGCUCCCAGCAGAGGAGCCCCCAUAAUGCCAGGAUCACGCCCUGAGCUGAAGGCAGACGCUUAAUGACUGAGCCACCCAGGCACCCCGACUUUUAAUCAUUUUUAUAAAAACAAAUCUUUAUUGAACUCUGCAGUUGAGCUCUACAAGCCACUGGCAGCACUUCAGUCUUCACUGGUCCUUGGAGGCGAACAUGACGAACAGGGGAAGAGAUGCAUCAAUCCCAGCUCCUACCUCCUGGCUAAGGAUGGAACAGCCUUAAGUAGGAGGAUGUGUGGUCCCACCUACAGCCAAUGGCAUCCUGGAUCUAGGCGGCGGACACUCUCCUCCCAGAGCUGAGCCUCCUGCUGAAAGACGAACACUGGGUUCUCUUACUGUCUUUCAACAAGUCACCUUUGCUCAGGGUGGGAAGAAUAGGCCAACGAAGGCCGCUACUUAGCUCCUGAAAGCUGAGCGGAGUGGGCCGGGCAGGACGAGAUCUGGAGGCCGGGCUGCCUGCGAUAGUCUCACCUUUCAGGGGUGAAGAAGAAAGGCUCCUGAGAGUGGACGCCUCCAGAAAGAGAAACAGCUGCCUCCCAACUGGUGUUCCUUCCGCCGCUGCCUUUCCCUCACUCAUCCUGUACUCCUCGAGGCAGCCCUAUAACAUGCUAAUGUCCUGUGACUUCUAAGAAAUAGAAAGCCCUGACUCAGCUGGCAUAGCCAAAAGAUGCCAAUUGUCUCACCCAACAAGGAAGCUGGGCAAGGUGGCCCCCAAUAGGCAAAUUCAGUGUCUCCAGCCUGGAAGCCCCGCACUUCCUUCCUCUGCUCAGCCAUUCCCAGGCUGGCUCCCUUCGGGGUGCACAAGGGUUGCUGCAUGCAGACCCUCAACACCCAGUGGCAGGAGGCUGUGUGUCUGUCACUGGGAGGAAAGCCUUCCCAGGGCCCCCCCAGGACUUGCCCUCGGGACUUGUGGGUCUCCUCCUAAAUCACUGGCAAGGAACUGGCAUUUCCAUGGUUAUCUCUGAGAAGCACAGGACCAUGUGGGGAGUCAGUAUUCUGACCAAAGAAAGGGGUUCUGUUAGUUAAGAGUGUGAGUGGAGACUGACAUGUAGGUCACCACAGGUAUGACUUCCUCCUGCUUUCAGGAGAAAACUCAGACUCUGUAGCUGGACAUCAAAGGUGCUUCCUGAGCUGGUGCCUGCCUACUCCUUUAGUCUGAUCUUUGUCAAAGCCCAACUGCCUUUCUCAAGCUCCAUCAAAGCAUGGUGAUGAUCCGAACCCUCUCGGUUCUUUGGUGACUCAUUGCCUUUGCCCGGACCGUCCCUGGCUCUUCCCCCCUCGUUCUCCCAGCCAACCCUCCCCCAAACCACCCUGGUCAAGCACACAUAUCCCUACAAGCCUUCCUUGGCUCCCGCCUCAGGUUGAGUUAGAAGCUGCUCCUUUGCAAGUGGCUUAGUUCCAGCAGUCGGGUAUGAAUUGGUUACUCAUCCAAAACGGACAUGUACAAAACAACCUAACAUACACUGAUAAUACCUAAUAUCUAACAACCACUUAGCCCUCACUGUGUACCACGCACUGUUUUAAGUGCUUAAGUUCAUUUGAUCAUUUAAUCAUCACAGCAUCUUAUGGGUCUGUGUUCCAAGGUCAUCGUAGCAUGUUAUUAAAAAACCACAGUUUUGGGGUGCCUGGGUGGCUCAGUCGGUUAAGUGUCCAACUCUUGAUUUCAGCUCAGGUCAUGAUCUCAGGGUCAUGAGAUUGAGCCCCGUGAUGGGCUCCACGCUGGGUGCGCAUGCGUUCUCUCUCUCAACCCCAUAAAAACAGCAGUUCCUCACCCACCCAUUUUGUUCCCAUCCAUAGCGCUUCUCACUCUCCGACAUAACUGUAUGUUUACUUCAUUACUUGUCUGCGUCUCUCCGCUAGAGUGUAAGCCUCCUAAUGGUGAGCGCUUGUUUUAUGCCCAGCACCUAGGACGAUGCCUGGCACAUAAUAGGUCCUCAAGAAAUAGUUGUUGAACGAUUGAUAGUACUGUUAUCCCUCUUUUACAGUGAGGACACAGGGGCCAGGUAAGCAGCUUGCUCAGAUCAUAGCUAGGAAGUGGCAGAAUUGGGAUUCAAACCCAGACAAUUUGGCUCUAGAGACACAUAACUCUAAGAGUAGACUGUGAGCCCAGGUACACAGCCUCACCAGUCAAGACCUCCUGAGUUACCAUCAAGUCAUAGCAGGGAUUUCUAUUAUCAGGAUGGUGUUGCUUUAACAGCAUGUGAAGGGACCAGGAAAACAGAUGUGGAAUGAUCUGGAAGGUAUUGCCUUCCUAGGUUCAGGACAAACUAGUUUUAUUAUUUUAACUUCUUUUUGGUUUCUUAAUGUACUGUUUGCUCACCUGCCCCUCAAGGCGGUUUCAGGACUUAGUAAAAUACAAGUUACUACCUGUUUGUAUAAGUAUAGCUGGGAUAGUUUGGGGGAUUUUAUUUUGUUCUCUCUUCAUUUUUGUGGCAUUCCUGACUAUUUUGGCCCUAGCUGCAGUGGUGGUUUUGACAUUGUCAAUCAGGAACUCAGCUGGCAACAGCUUAAAUGCUGUCAGUAUUACCAUCAAUCACUUGUUUAAACAGUUUGAAUUUCUAAAGGAUUUUAUGAAUUACCAAUUAAAACAAAACUGGAAAUUGCAGCAUAGUUUCAAACUAUUGCUUGGGGCAUAUGGUCAAGAGAAAACAUGAACUCUAUUGUCCUGUUAAUUCCUGAGAAGUUACAUUAUGAUGAUAGAAUAAAGUAGGUCAUGGUGGGCUUCCACUGCAGCAAAUUUUUUUUAUGUGCCUAGUAUCAGCCAGGUGUGGUCCUGGGCUCUGGGUGUAAAGUGAUGAACAAGACGGCAUAGUCCUCCCCCUCAUGGAAUUUUGUAGUGUACUUUCCCAAAUAGCAUUCAGCCCUUUGCAGAGCAGGAUGACCUAAUUAUUCACCCACUUGUUCUUUGAGAUGUAAUGAUGCUUUUGUGAAUGCCACAUUCUUCCCCAGCAUCUUUUGCAUAUGGAGCAUACACACAAAUGAGGAAGCAGGGCAGGUGUGAACAGACCAGUAUAAACAGGCCCUGACCAUGGUGGAUGCUUAAUCUGCACUCUGUCCUAACCCGCCCCGAUCCAAUUGGAGAAAAGCAUGUUUGCUCCCUAGUCAACCACUGCAAAAUUACAUUGUAAAGUGACUCCUUAUUCAUGUUUCUGGCCCCAACAUUUUCCCUAUGCACCUGUUUGCAUAUAGGGCAUCUUUACGUAAAUGGUACGUGGCCCUUUCCAUGCUUGAUUUAAUUUUUCCUGAGAAGCAGCCUCUGAGGCAGAUGGGUCAGCCAAUGGUACCUCUCCUGUACAUGAGAGGUGAUUUUCCUUCUGAUGGGGGGGGGCUGGGCAGGCUGGCCUUCCCUUCUGCUGGGGCUGCUUCCCUGCCCACCAGUGUCUUCUGGCCUGACCUCCCACAGCCUAACCCGGGCACCAGCUUUACCAAGUGAAAUUCCCCUGUAAGUCAGCCUACACUGAGCGUUUGUCUGUGUGACACUCAUUCCUCUGAGCAGGCUCAGAACUCCGUUCAUUGACUCUCUGGUUCCCAAGAAUCCUAAGACCCCCCCGACCAUGAAGAGCCCACAGAUGGUCCAGAGAAUAGCUCAAGUUUCCUACUGCAUGCAGAUGCCUCUGCUCCAGAGAAUAAAUUUAAGUAAGAAAAGAAACAACUAAUUGAUUCCAUGCCGAGAAAUAUUUCUCUCCUCUCUCUCUUUCUUGAUCUACUUAUUUUCAUAAUUCUCCUUCUCUGAGCUUCUCCUUGGGGCCUACGAAAUGAAUCUCUGGUGGCCUGGGAGAAGACUCAAUAAAAAUAAAGCCCUAACAAGGAGGCUCUGGGCCACGUGGGAGGUACUAAGUGUGGCUCUGCUUCACAUGGGACACGAGAGGCCUGCCUCAGGAAGCACGGGGAUCUCAUUUGCAAUGUAAUUGCUGCUCUGCUUUUCUCCAUUACCCCAUAAACUCUCAGCUCUGUGGGGCUAAUGUUCAUCCUUCUGUGUAGUCCCAGCGCAAAGCCUGGAAUACAGUUGGUGCUCAAUAAAUAUUUCUUGAAAGUAGGAAAGAAGGCAGGCAGUCAGGAGGGAAUGUGUGUGGGGUUACCUAAGCUUCUCAGAAGGACCCAACGAAAAUAUGGAGCGAGACCUAAGGUCUGGGUAAGAACAGAGUUUGCACAAUUCCCCAGGGUUAGCGCAGCUGAAAGCCUAAAGUCUAUGGUGAUGAGAGGACAGGUUUGCUGGGUUUAAUGAGGGUGGGAGGGCGCCUGCUCCAGCGGCCAUGAAAAGGAAACGCUCACAGCUCCCCCAGGCUGAGAGCAGCAGUGUGGCAGCAGCCAGUGGAUGUGGCUGUAAGGGCUGGCGCACAGACCAGCAGGGACCCCUGGGCGGACCCGCGGCACAGGAACACUGAAGCCCAGGCCUCCCAAGUUCACAACACGAUUCGUGGGAACCUGUUGUUCAUGGAAGCCUCAGGUAAGGAGGCAGCUCUGCCUUGGCAGCUGCAGACGAGACCCUCUGGGGGCUUUGCAGGCAGUGGAUGUGAGUCUGGAAGAGCAGCUUUGGCACUCAAGGACCUCCUGGCUGGGCCUAUGGAGGAGUACUAACAGCCAGUAUAGACGUUAGCAUGUGACCACAUUUAGGGACCCUUCAUACUCAACCCCCUUGUAAGUGAAGCAGGGCAGGGACCGUCACCCUCUUUUUACAGAUGAGGAAAACGAAGUUCAAUGAGGCUGAAUAACUUUCCCAAGCUCUCACAACCCAUAAAGUGUCAGCAUCUGUAUUUCAGGGCUUCUGGCCUCUUGUCAAUCCUACUUGCAGAGGCAUAGCAGCUGCGCUGUUGGAAAUAGCCAGCAGAGGGCAGCCUUCACAAAGAAGCGGUGUCUCGCCCUUCCAGAGCUCAGAGCCGGCAUUACUGAGGCCGGAUCCCCUGCCCUGGUGAGCGACACUGAGAAGGGGCGGAGCGUGACCUGGGUGGCUCAGUGGGUUAACCGUCCGACUCUGCGUCCCAGCUCAGGUCUUGAUCUCAGGGUUCUCCACACUGGGAGUGGAGCCUGCUUAAAAUAAUAACAAUAAUAAUAAUAAUAAUAAUAAUAAAAUGUAAGAGUCAAAGAGCUCAGAAUGGCAGAGGAACCAUUCCAAAUUUAAAAAGACUAAAUGGACAUGACAACCAAUUGUAAUGGGUGACUGAUUCUGACAGGUUUCUGGGCUGGGGAAAAAAUAGAUGUAAAGGACAUUUUUGGGGACAACUGAUGAAAUUUGUUUUAGAUAAUAGUAUUCUAUCAACAUUAAAUUUCCUAAAGUUGACAAUUGUACUGUUUAUAUGAGAAUAUUAUUUUAUUAUUUUUUAUUAUGCUAGCCACCAUACAGUACAUCCCCGGUUUCCGAUGUAAAG